UUACGCCCAUAUCACGUUGAAACAUCGGUUCUCGCACGAUCACCAGUUAAGCAACGUAGAGUCUGAUCAGUACCUAGAUGGGUGACCGCUUGAGAAUACCAGGUGCUGUAAG